rnacentral:tRNA from 1 species
GGAGUAUAGCUCAGCUGGUUAGAGUGCUUGCUUGACAUGCAAGAGGUCACUGGUUCAAGUCCAGUUAUUCCC